rnacentral:rRNA from 1 species
GACAGAGGGGGCAACCGUUGUUCGGAAUUACUGGGCGUAAAGCGCGUGUAGGCAGCUCGGAAAGUCGGGGGUGAAAGCCCUGGGCUUAACCUAGGAAGUGCACUCGAAACUUCCGAGCUUGAGUUCUGGAGAGGAAGGCGGAAUUCUCGGUGUAGAGGUGAAAUUCGUAGAUAUCGAGAGGAACACCGGUGGCGAAGGCGGCCUUCUGGACAGUGACUGACGCUGAGACGCGAAAGCGUGGGGAGCAAACAGG